UCAACUGACGGCUCGAAGUCUGAUCCUGCGUAAUAACAGUAAUCAUAUCUUACUACAAAUUCUAACUUAUUCGUAUAUUAUGAAGUUCCUCCUUGAGAAAUCUUGACAAAUCAUUAGAAAAAAAUAUUCUCACAUUUUCAACAUGCUGAAAGAUUAAGUCAGUGUAUCCAAAUCAUCAUAGAAACAUCUAACCGUGAGAGAUGUAAGCGAUAAAUACUUUAUUUUUAUUUUUUCUUCAUGUUUUUCUACUAUAUAACAGUUUUGUUAGCACGAAAAUAUUAAAAUUAUACAAAAUUUCCCAAGUAGGUGUUGUGAAUCGAACACGCUAAUCAACAAAGCGCAGCCGGUGGAAAGAUAUUAAGUUGCAAAAAAGUUACAACAAAUCACUGAACUUGUAAAUAUGUAACUAUGUACGUAUAUAAAUACGUCACCCAGUCACAGAUUGCUUCGACGAAAGGCAACACUCACUAAUAGUCACAGAAACUGGGAAUAAAGUGUGUAAUGCAAUAACCAAAGCCGCCAAAGUACAAAAACAAGCGAUGCAAAAGUGUGCAUUUCCACAUUAACAAAUACGAUGACAACGAAAGUGGUUAACUAUCAAUUGCAGCAAACUUAAGCACUUAACAUUUGAUAGCAUCGAUUACAAAACGAUUAAUUAAUUUAAAAAUGUACCUUUCAAAUUUAUGUGGCUUAUCAAAUGGCUUCCUCAGCACUUUGUUGUUGUGUAAUGCUCGAUAUUACAAAGCAAAUAUAGCCGCAAACCCAAAGGUUCUAUAUGGAUGUGGGCUUAGAUAUACUUAUGUUUGUAUGCAUGCCUACCCACACUUUCUAAGCAAAAACAAAACAAAAGAGUCGAGGCGAUAAAACGAUUAGGCUGCUGUUGAAAUGAUAACGCUAAUUGGUUUCAGUAAAUAAAGUGAAGCACAUAAUAAAGUUUCAUUGCACCAGCAGGCGAUGGUAAAAAUCUGCGUAACCCUUUGGACAAAAAAACGAAAAUAAUAAUUAAAACAAAUGUAACGAACGCUGCCGCUGCGGAGAUAAGAGAUAGUGGAGUGUUUACGGCGAUGUGGGUAUAUGUUGUGUGUAAAAAAUAUAAAAAAAAACAAAAACAACAAAAAUAAACUAACUAAUUUAUUGUACUAAAAAAGCGAAUAAAAAUCAAUUAGUAGGUGUCAUAAGUUUAGAGCUAAAUGUUAAACUAAA